rnacentral:rRNA from 1 species
UACGGGGGGGGCAAGCGUUGUUCGGAAUUACUGGGCGUAAAGGGCGCGUAGGCGGCCUGCUAAGUCGGAUGUGAAAUCCCUCGGCUCAACCGAGAAACGUCGGCCGAUACUGCCGUUCUUGAGGGAUGCAGAGGAGACUGGAAUUCCCGGUGUAGCGGUGAAAUGUGUAGAGAUCGGGAGGAACACCGGUGGCGAAGGCGGGUCUCUGGGCAUCUCCUGACGCUGAGGCGCGAAAGCGUGGGGAGCAAACGGG